AUUGAACGCUGGCGGCAUGCUUUACACAUGCAAGUCGAACGGUAACAGGCCGCAAGGUGCUGACGAGUGGCGAACGGGUGAGUAAUGCAUCGGAACGUGCCCAGUCGUGGGGGAUAACGCAGCGAAAGUUGCGCUAAUACCGCAUACGAUCUAUGGAUGAAAGCGGGGGACCGUAAGGCCUCGCGCGAUUGGAGCGGCCGAUGUCAGAUUAGGUAGUUGGUGGGGUAAAGGCUCACCAAGCCGACGGUCUGUAGCUGGUCUGAGAGGACGACCAGCCAAACUGGGACUGAGACACGGCCCAGACUCCUACGGGAGGCAGCAGUGGGGAAUUUUGGACAAUGGGCGCAAGCCUGAUCCAGCAAUGCCGCGUGCAGGAAGAAGGCCUUCGGGUUGUAAACUGCUUUUGUACGGAACGAAACGGUCCUGGUUAAUACCCGGGGCUAAUGACGGUACCGUAAGAAUAAGCACCGGCUAACUACGUGCCAGCCGCCGCGGUAA
rnacentral:rRNA from 1 species